AAAUCGUGUUUCCGGGACGGAUCGGGUAGCCACAGGCAGAUCUCAAGUACAUGAUUAUGCCUCUGUUCAGACACAAGACACUUUACAUAACUUAGAUAUUACAGUGUUGUGCUCUGGAAGAAAUGCAAUGAAACAUCCAAGGCUCAACUCACACGAUCAUUCUGUUUGAUCAUUUACAUACACUGGAUUCUUAAUAUAGUGUAUAAUGUCACCUGAUUGAGCAUAAAUGAAUGUUUGUAUCAUCUGUAGUUGUGUAUAAGUUUCUUCGCAUCUUUAUGGAGAUGCAGAUUUCAUUUUCCAACAGGACUUGGCACCUGCACACAGUGCCAAAGCUACCAGUACCUGGUUUAAGGACCAUGGUAUCCCUGUUCUUAAUUGGCCAGCAAACUCGCCUGACCUUAACCCCAUAGAAAAUCUAUGGGGUAUUGUGAAGAGGAAGAUGCGAUAUGCCAGACCCAACAAUGCAGAAGAGCUGAAGGCCACUAUCAGAGCAACCUGGGCUCUCAUAACACCUGAGCAGUGCCACAGACUGAUCGACUCCAUGCCACGCCGCAUUGCUGCAGUAAUUCAGGCAAAAGGAGCCCCAACUAAGUAUUGAGUGCUGUACAUGCUCAUACUUUUCAUGUUCAUACUUUUCAGUUGGCCAAGAUUUCUAAAAAUCCUUUCUUUGUAUUGGUCUUAAGUAAUAUUCUAAUUUUCUGAGAUACUGAAUUUGGGAUUUUCAUUAGUUGUCAGUUAUAAUCAUCAAAUUAAAAGAAAUAAACAUUUGAAAUAUAUCAGUCUGUGUGUAAUGAAUGAAUAUAAUA